rnacentral:rRNA from 1 species
UACGAAGGGGGCUAGCGUUGCUCGGAAUCACUGGGCGUAAAGGGUGCGUAGGCGGCUAUUUAAGUCAGUGGUGAAAUCCUGCAGCUUAACUGUAGAAUUGCCAUUGAUACUGGAUAGCUUGAGUACAGACGAGGUAGGCGAAAUUUAUGGUGUAGCGGUGAAAUGCAUAGAUACCAUAAAGAACACCUAUUGCGAAGGCAGCUUACUAGGCUGUAACUGACGCUGAGGCACGAAAGUGUGGGGAUCAAACAGG